GAUGAACGCUGGCGGCGUGCUUAACACAUGCAAGUCGAACGGAAAGGCCAGUGCUUGCACUGGUACUCGAGUGGCGAACGGGUGAGUAACACGUGGGUGAUCUGCCCUGUACUUCGGGAUAAGCUUGGGAAACUGGGUCUAAUACCGGAUAGGACAACUUUUUGGAUAUUGUUGUGGAAAGCUUUUGCGGUAGGGGAUGAGCUCGCGGCCUAUCAGCUUGUUGGUGGGGGAAUGGCCUACCAAGGCGUCGACGGGUAGCCGGCCUGAGAGGGUGUACGGCCACACUGGGACUGAGAUACGGGCCAGACUCCUACGGGAGGCAGCAGUGGGGAAUAUUGCACAAUGGGCGCAAGCCUGAUGCAGCGAAGCCGCGGGGGGGAUGAAGGCCUUCGGGUUGUAAACUCCUUUCGCUAGGGACGAAGCUUUUUUGUGACGGUACCUGGAGAAGAAGCACCGGCUAACUACGUG
rnacentral:rRNA from 1 species